ACCUCUCUUCUUCCAACUCCAAAUAAAAGAGAAGGUGGUUUGGUUAUUAUUGUGCUCCAAAGCCAUUCAUCAAUGAUUCGUUAAUUAUUGUUCAUUGUUGCUGCUAUCCUGCAAGGGAAAAUUAAAUUAUUAAAGUGGAAAUUAAGAGGUGUGGUGAAAAUUAGUUUCUUAGAAAGGAGCACAAUAAAAAAUCAUCAGAAAACUAAGGCAACAACAAUAACAAUAAUAAGCAAAUCAUCAAUGGCUUCCAUUCUUAGAACCACUGUUUUGAUCAUAAUCCUAAGCAUGUUGGUGUUGGAGCUACAACCAGCAGUUGUUGUUGAAUCAGCAUUUGCCACUCCUCUAAGCCCUUGCACCGCUCCAAAUUGCACUGUAGAAUGCAAGAAAAUUCUGAAGGAAAAGUUUAAGAGUGCAGAAUGUACAACAUCUACACCUAAUAAGUGUGUUUGCUUUGAUUGAGAAUAGUACAGUGUUUCAAAUUGUAAUUAAUUACUAUCAUUUAUCAUCAUUGAACACAUACACUUUCUCUCUC